ACUAGCCUCCAGAUUCGAGAUUUGCUCUGAAACAAGUACACGUUCUGAUCUCAACUUAUGCGCGUUCUCACUGAGAGAAUCGAUAAGAGCUAGCGUAGAACUCAAUUCUUUCUCCUUAUCUUGUAACUACAAUGAACAAUCAUGCAGUCUUUUUUCUUCGUCCUCCAACGCACUCAACUCUUUGAAGAGCUCGGCUCUUUCCUAAUUCGUCAUCUCUCUCCUAAAUUCCGAAAUUGAAAUGGCCCUUCCCACCGCCAAAUUGAGUCUUUUAUAGCGGGUUUUUCACUGGUGAAAUUUCACUCUAACCCCUGUGGUUAAGUUCGAUUACACAUAACCCAUUAUAGUUAAAAUAACUCGCUCCCCUCCAUCAUCAUAACCACUCCCUUUUUGCCUUAUCCAACACUAAUUGCCCAACAUAACCCCGAAAACCAUCAGCAUCACCAUCAAACAAUACACAACUUAAUUGGCUUCAUCUAUGACUGUAAAAUUGCCCUGAAUUAUCAAAUGAGUCAUAUGGCACACCCGUUACAAUUUGCAUGCGAAAGAUGAUGCCCUUAUCGUUCAUGCUUAAGUCCUUCAGCGUCUUCACCAUUAGGACUAGUCUGGCAGGUGAAGCGAGUUCCCUGUCUAUCUUGCGAAUUUUGAGCACCUUCACAAAAACACUAGCCUCCAAAUUCGAGAUUUGCUCUAAAACAAGUACACGUUUUGAUCUCGACUUAUGCACGUUCUCACUGAGAGAACCGAUAAGAGCUAGCGUAGAACUCAGUUCUUUCUCCUUAUCUUGUAACUGCCAAGGUUCUAAAAAUCGCUAGGCGGCAAUCGGGCGGCCGGGGGGCCUAGCGCCUAGGCGGUUUUUUAUUAUUAUUUAUUUAUUAAUUUUAUUUAUUUAAAUCAUUUAUAUUUUUUAAAAAUAAUAAUAAAUGACCAAAUAUCAAAUUCUACCCAAAAAUGCUAUUAUCAAAAAUAGUAAAGUUACAAAUGUUUAAUGUGAAUAUACAAAGAGAAGAUAGAAAUGCAAUUUAGGUCUAUUCUAAAAUACAUUAGAUAUUAAAAACUAGAUCUUAAAAAGCGUUAGGCGUUUAAGGGGCAGGCGGAGGGUCCAGCGCCUAGGCGGGUCCAUAGAAGCCGGGAGGGCCUAGCCGCCUAGGCGGGGCCUAGGGGCUAGGAGUGAGGAUUUUUAGAAGAGAGGUAACUGCAAUGAACAAUCAUGCAAUCUUUUUUCUUCGUCCUCCAACGCACUCAACUCUAUGAAAAAUCAUGCGGAAUUGGUCUCGGUUCUUUCGGCUUCUCCACUCUGCCUUUUCGUUACAGCAAUCCUUGUGCAACAUAUCUCAAUCAUCCAUUAUUCCUAAAUUGGUAACAAUCAUCUCUCAAUCAUCCAUUAUUCCUAAAUUGGUAACAAGCAAGUUGCUUCAAGGCGAGUGUAAUUAGAUCUUGGUCUAUUGUACACUUCCAGCAACUAUUAGUUAUCGUACGCCGUCCUGCUGAUGUAGAUUCACAUAAAAGAGAAAGGGCUGAUAUUAGUUAUCAGCUUUUUCGGUGAUUUUAGAGUCAUCUAAUUCCGGUAUAUUCUAGUGUGUCAUUCCCAAAAUUAAUUUUUAAUUUUUCAUGCACACAUAAAUCUUGAACGUUGUUGAAUCUGUCAUCGAAGCCUUUCGAUAAGCUCCAUCCGAAGUGUUGAUAACAAAAUCCAGCGAGGGUUCAUCUAGCAUUUUGUAUAGUUAUAUAUUGUCAAUUCAUAAUCUUUUCUCAACUGUGCGUGGAAUGGUUCUGUUAACAUGUAAGUGCUCAAUUUAAGGUUUAUUGCUUGGACUCAAACAUGGAGCUUUUAACAUGCGUGUCGAGUAUAUGAUCUAAGAUUUUCUCAAGAAUAACAUUUUAUAUCUGCAAGUAAUGGAAAUUUAGUGUGGAGAUAUAACAGAACAAUCAAUAGUUAUCCCCUCUCUAAACUGAAUUCAGAUACAAUAGUGCAAUCAUUAUUUUAAGAAAAAUCUUUAAAAAGUGAACUUGUUAAAACUGACUUAAAAUGCACAACUCAUAAACCUGAGACUCUGUUAACAUCAUCAUUCUGUAAAAAGAUUUUUAAAAGUGUUUUGAUUUAAAGUCGGUGGAAUGGUUCCAGAACUCCAACUUGUACAACGAAAAAUAGAAGUCGGUCCUCCCAUUUUAUGAGGCAGAAUUGGUCUUGGUUCUUUCGGCUUCUCCCCUUUGCCUUUUUGUUUCAGCAAUCCUUCUGCAUCAUCUCUCAAUCAUCCAUUAUUCCUAAUUUGGUAACAAGCAAGAUGCUUCAAGGUGAGCGUAAUUAGAUCUUGGUCUAUUGCAACAAGCAAGAUGAUUCACAUAAAAGGGAAAUGGUUGAUAUUAGUUAUCAGCUUUUUCGGUGAUUUUAGAGUUGUCAAAAUUGACAUAUAUCUUGGAAAGUUGAAAUCAAUGCCAUUGAUGGUAAAGAAAUGCUUACCAGAGGCUCGAGGAGUUAGUAU
rnacentral:lncRNA from 1 species